rnacentral:other from 2 species
UAAACACUGGUUCAUUUGCCAAUACAUUCGAUAUCUUUGAACCGAUACUUAAAUGAUAGGCAAUAUUCCACUGUCGAUGUUGUGCAAUACCUUAGGGAAGCCUGAUUCGAUAAGAGCUUUGCCACCUGGACUUUCGGUUCAGGAAAAAAUGUAUAGCGGUGAAUUGGUUUUUAG